UAGCAUAUCAAUAAGCGGAGGAAAAGAAACCAACAGGGAUUGCCUCAGUAACGGCGAGUGAAGCGGCAACAGCUCAAAUUUGAAAUCCGGGUCCUGCGGCCCGAGUUGUAAUUUGCAGAGGAUGCUUUUGGCGCGGUGCCUUCCAAGUUCCCUGGAACGGGACGCCUUAGAGGGUGAGAGCCCCGUACGGUUGGACACCAAGCCUUUGUAAAGCUCCUUCGACGAGUCGAGUAGUUUGGGAAUGCUGCUCUAAAUGGGAGGUAUAUUUCUUCUAAAGCUAAAUACCGGCCAGAGACCGAUAGCGCACAAGUAGAGUGAUCGAAAGAUGAAAAGCACUUUGAAAAGAGGGUUAAACAGCACGUGAAAUUGUUAAAAGGGAAGCGCUUGUGACCAGACUUGCGCCCGGUGAAUCACCCAGCUCUCGCGGCUGGGGCACUUUGCCGGCUCAGGCCAGCAUCAGCUUGCCGUCGGGGACAAAAGCUUCGGGAACGUAGCUCUCUUCGGGGAGUGUUAUAGCCCGUUGCAUAAUACCCUUCGGCGGGCUGAGGUACGCGCUCCGCAAGGAUGCUGGCAUAAUGGUCAUCAGCGACCCGUCUUGAAACACGGACCAAGGAGUCAACCUUAUGUGCGAGUGUUCGGGUGUCAAACCCCUACGCGUAAUGAAAGUGAACGCAGGUGAGAGCUUCGGCGCAUCAUCGACCGAUCCUGAUGUUCUCGGAUGGAUUUGAGUAAGAGCAUAUAGGGUUGGACCCGAAAGAAGGUGAACUAUGCGUGUAUAGGGUGAAGCCAGAGGAAACUCUGGUGGAGGCUCGCAGCGGUUCUGACGUGCAAAUCGAUCGUCAAAUAUGCGCAUGGGGGCGAAAGACUAAUCGAACCUUCUAGUAGCUGGUUUCCGCCGAAU
rnacentral:rRNA from 1 species